GGAAGGGUGGCCGAGUGGUUUAAGGCGCAGGAUUUAGGCUCCUGUUCGUAAGAGCGCGGGUUCAAAUCCCGUCCCUUUCA
rnacentral:tRNA from 1 species